GGGCCGGGGCGGCUGUCCGGGAGGAGCGGGCACCGGGGACGUGAUCGGGGGGAUGAAGCCGGGAUACGGGGUCAGCUUGAGGAAGACGACAGGGGACUGGGGGGCUGGGAUUAGGGACGAAGGAGACAUCAGAGGGCAUGACUAGAGAGGCUGGUCGUAACAGGCACUUGGCGAAUCACUCAGACGUCAUAACAGCCGGCUGUGCUGUCACCGAGUCCCUGAGAUGUCAUCAAGCAGCCUCAUCGCCUAUGAACACGUCCGGGGCCCUGUGGGCUGAGGAGGGGACCCUGCCCCUGCUGCCAGUGGUACCUCAGCCCCCCUCCCAAAGGGAGUGAUGUAUUUCCAUCCAAAUCCUUCAUCAGAAGGCUCUGGAAGGCACCUUCCUGGCUACCCUCCUCCUCCUCCUCCAGGCAGCCUUCCUUGAACUCUCCACUGCCCCCUCCAGUUCCCUGGGCUCUGGCCUUUUGCACCUUCCCUCUCUGAUCUGACCCUCUCCCGUGCUGUCAAUUGGGAAAAGCCUUCAAAGUCAGGCCCUCAAAAGGACCCAUCCCUGCGCCUCUUCAAGCCUGUUUUCACUUCUCUAAAAUGGGCACAGCAGUGGUGCCUGGCCCCCACGCUGGAUGGAGCGACGUGAGCCAGGUCACGUCUGUGAUGGGCUUAGCACAAGCCGGGACACUGUGACAGCCUAAUGAAUCCUACUGGCCAGAGUACACAAGAAAUAGUUAACAGUGAGAAGUGGGAUCAGAGGGACAAGAGAAAUUUACUUUUUCAAGGUAUACUCUUUUGUAUUUCUCAAUACAUUUUUCC
rnacentral:lncRNA from 1 species